AUUGAACGCUGGCGGCAGGCCUAACACAUGCAAGUCGAGCGGAGCGGCGGACGGGUGAGUAAUGUAUGGGAAUCUGCCUGGUAGUGGGGGAUAACGUCCGGAAACGGGGGCUAAUACCGCAUACUAUCAGAUGAGCCUAGGUCGGAUUAGCUAGUGGGUGGGGUAAAGGCCUACCAAGGCGACGAUCCGUAACUGGUCUGAGAGGAUGAUCAGUCACACUGGAACUGAGACACGGUCCAGACUCCUACGGGAGGCAGCAGUGGGGAAUAUUGGACAAUGGGCGAAAGCCUGAUCCAGCCAUGCCGCGUGUGUGAAGAAGGUCUUCGGAUUGUAAAGCACUUUAAGUUGGGAGGCGUUACCAACAGAAUAAGCACCGGCUAACUUCGUGCCAGCAGCCGCGGUAAUAC
rnacentral:rRNA from 1 species